UACGGGGGGGGCGAGCGUUGUUCGGAAUUACUGGGCGUAAAGGGUGCGUAGGCGGUGCUCUAAGUCGGAUGUGAAAACUCUGGGCUCAACCCAGAGCCUGCAUCCGAAACUGGAGUGCUAGAGUUCUGGAGGGGGUAGCGGAAUUCCUGGUGUAGCGGUGAAAUGCGCAGAUAUCAGGAGGAACACCGGUGGCGAAGGCGGGUCUCUGGGCCGAUACUGACGCUGAGGAGCGAAAGCGUGGGGAGCGAACAGG
rnacentral:rRNA from 1 species